UGGAUGUAACAAACGCGCCCUUUUUUCAAGGCGGGCUAUUUAAACCAAUGGUCUGGCCACUGUGGGUGUGCUGUGCUGGUGCUAGAUGUGACUUCUUUCCCAGCUUGCUUCUGGGCUUUAUCACUUGAAAAUACUUAAGAAGGAUACUAUAUAUGAGGUGGGCUAUUUAAACCGAUGGGCUGUGCCGGUGCUAUUCACAGCUCCUUUCCCGGCUUGCUUCUGGGCUUUAUCACUGAAAAUACUUUUGAAGAACGCUCUAUACGAGGCACAGGCCUCAAACACACACUCCAAUCAUGAAGCUUCAAGAGUUUCACGUCUUCCGGACCUUCCAGACUCAUUCAAAUAGGCAGGACACGUGCAACAAAGGGCCCUGGAAUCAAACCCAGGCCAUUGCAGAGGGCUCAGCUUUGUGCAUGUGGGGCACAUGCUGUACCAGGUGAUUGACAGGGCCCCCCCAAGAAAGGGUUUUGCCUGUGAGCUACAGACUAGGCGAUCUUUUUGAUAGCAGUUGUUGCUGCUGCUGCUAAUGCAGAAGAUUAUAUGGAUCAGUUUCGCAAGGUUGUCCAUCUACUAAGUGGAUUUCCUUAAACAAUGUCGCCAUCUGCUGGAACCAAGGCAGACCAGCGUCAAACAUAAAAAUGAGGAUUUUUUUUUUUUUUUUUUUUUUUUUUUAGGAAUAAAACUUAAAACUAAAUGGCUUAAACAAAUCUGUUCUCCUGGUUUUUAUGUCUGCUGUUCUGG